rnacentral:rRNA from 1 species
CCUACGGGUGUCAGCAGUGGGGGAUAUUGCACAAUGGGGGGAACCCUGAUGCAGCGACGCCGCGUGGGUGAAGAAGCGCCUCGGCGCGUAAAGCCCUGUCAGCAGGGAAGAAAAUGACGGUACCUGAAGAAGAAGCCCCGGCUAACUACGUGCCAGCAGCCGCGGUAAUACGUAGGGGGCAAGCGUUAUCCGGAUUUACUGGGUGUAAAGUGUGCGCAGACGGCUGUGCAAGCCAGGAGUGAAAGCCCGGGGCGCAACCCCGGGACUGCUCUUGGAACUGCGUGGCUGGAGUGCAGGAGGGGCAGGCGGAAUUCCUGGUGUAGCGGUGAAAUGCGUAGAUAUCACGCAGAACCCCGAUUGCGAAGGCAGCAUACCGGUGCACAACUGACGCUCAGGCACGAAAGCGUGGGUAUCGAACAGGAUUAGAUACCCUGGUAGUC